GACGAACGCUCUCGGCGUGCUUAACACAUGCAAGUCGAACGGAAAGGCCCUGCUUUUGUGGGGUGCUCGAGUGGCGAACGGGUGAGUAACACGUGAGUAACCUGCCCUUGACUUUGGGAUAACUUCAGGAAACUGGGGCUAAUACCGGAUAGGAGCUCCUGCUGCAUGGUGGGGGUUGGAAAGUUUCGGCGGUUGGGGAUGGACUCGCGGCUUAUCAGCUUGUUGGUGGGGUAGUGGCUUACCAAGGCUUUGACGGGUAGCCGGCCUGAGAGGGUGACCGGCCACAUUGGGACUGAGAUACGGCCCAGACUCCUACGGGAGGCAGCAGUGGGGAAUAUUGCACAAUGGGCGGAAGCCUGAUGCAGCAACGCCGCGUGCGGGAUGACGGCCUUCGGGUUGUAAACCGCUUUCGCCUGUGACGAAGCGUGAGUGACGGUAAUGGGUAAAGAAGCACCGGCUAACUACGUGCCAGCAGCCGCGGUGAUACGUAGGGUGCGAGCGUUGUCCGGAUUUAUUGGGCGUAAAGGGCUCGUAGGUGGUUGAUCGCGUCGGAAGUGUAAUCUUGGGGCUUAACCCCUGAGCGUGCUUUCGAUACGGGUUGACUUGAGGAAGGUAGGGGAGAAUGGAAUUCCUGGUGGAGCGGUGGAAUGCGCAGAUAUCAGGAGGAACACCAGUGGCGAAGGCGGUUCUCUGGGCCUUUCCUGACGCUGAGGAGCGAAAGCGUGGGGAGCGAACAGGCAUAGAUACCCUGGUAGUCCACGCUGUAAACGGUGGGUACUAGGUGUGGGGUCCAUUCCACGGGUUCCGUGCCGUAGCUAACGCUUUAAGUACCCCGCCUGGGGAGUACGGCCGCAAGGCUAAAACUCAAAGGAAUUGACGGGGCCCCGCACAAGCGGCGGAGCAUGCGGAUUAAUUCGAUGCAACGCGUAGAACCUUACCUGGGUUUGACAUGGAUCGGGAGUGCUCAGAGAUGGGUGUGCCUCUUUUGGGGUCGGUUCACAGGUGGUGCAUGGCUGUCGUCAGCUCGUGUCGUGAGAUGUUGGGUUAAGUCCCGCAACGAGCGCAACCCUUGUUCACUGUUGCCAGCACGUUAUGGUGGGGACUCAGUGGAGACCGCCGGGGUCAACUCGGAGGAAGGUGGGGAUGACGUCAAGUCAUCAUGCCCCUUAUGUCCAGGGCUUCACGCAUGCUACAAUGGCUGGUACAGAGAGUGGCGAGCCUGUGAGGGUGAGCGAAUCUCGGAAAGCCGGUCUCAGUUCGGAUUGGGGUCUGCAACUCGACCUCAUGAAGUCGGAGUCGCUAGUAAUCGCAGAUCAGCAACGCUGCGGUGAAUACGUUCCCGGGGCU
rnacentral:rRNA from 1 species